rnacentral:rRNA from 1 species
ACUGGGGAUAAUUCCGGAUAGGCCACAGAUGCUGGAAUGCACUGUGGCUCAAAGCUCCGGCGCCGAAGGAUGGGUCUGCGGCCUAUCAGGGUUGUAGUGGGUGUAAUGUACCUACUAGCCUACGACGGGUACGGGUUGUGAGAGCAAGAGCCCGGAGAUGGAUUCUGAGACACGAAUCCAGGCCCUACGGGGUGCAGCAGGCGCGAAAACUUUACAAUGCGGGAAACCGUGAUAAGGGAAUCUCGAGUGCCAGCAUAUAAUGUUGGCUGUCCAGAUGCCUAAAAAGCAUCUGUUAGCAAGGGCCGGGCAAGACCGGUGCCAGCCGCCGCGGUAACACCGGCGGCCCGAGUGGUAACCGCUUUUAUUGGGUCUAAAGGGUCUGUAGCCGGCCAUGUAAGUCCCUUGGGAAAUCUGGCAGCUCAACUGUCAGGCUGCUAGGGGAUACUGCUUGGCUUGGGACCGGGAGAGGUGAGAGGUACCUUGAGGGUAGGGGUGAAAUCUUGUGAUCCUCGGGGGACCACCAGUGGCGAAGGCGUCUCACCAGAACGGGUCCGACGGUAAGGGACGAAAGCUAGGGGCACGAACCGGAUUAGAUACCCGGGUAGUCCUAGCCGUAAACGAUGCUCGCUAGGUGUCAGUCACGGUGCGACCGUGAUUGGUGCCGUAGGGAAGCCGUGAAGCGAGCCACCUGGGAAGUACGGCCGCAAGGCUGAAACUUAAAGGAAUUGGCGGGGGAGCACUACAACGGGUGGAGCCUGCGGUU